rnacentral:tRNA from 12 species
GGGUCUAAGGCGUCGGACUUAAGAUCCAUUGUACAUCUAUAUGCGCAGGUUCAGACCCUGGCGUAU